GACGAACGCUGGCGGCGUGCUUAACACAUGCAAGUCGAACGGAAAGGCCUCUUUCGGGGGGUACUCGAGUGGCGAACGGGUGAGUAACACGUGAGUAACCUGCCCUUGACUUUGGGAUAACUUCAGGAAACUGGGGCUAAUACCGGAUAGGAGCUCCUGCUUCAUGGUGGGGGUUGGAAAGUUUCGGCGGUUGGGGAUGGACUCGCGGCUUAUCAGCUUGUUGGUGGGGUAGUGGCUUACCAAGGCUUUGACGGGUAGCCGGUCUGAGAGGGUGACCGGCCACAUUGGGACUGAGAUACGGCCCAGACUCCUACGGGAGGCAGCAGGGGGGAAUAGUGCACAAGGGGUGGAAGCCUGAUGCAGCAACGCCGUGUGCGGGAUGACGGCCUUCGGGUUGUAAACCGCUUUCGCUCAUGACGAAGCUUUGUGUGACGGUAGUGGGUAAAGAAGCACCGGCUAACUACGUG
rnacentral:rRNA from 1 species